UACGUAGGGGGCAAGCGUUGUCCGGAAUCAUUGGGCGUAAAGAGCGUGUAGGCGGCUCGAUAAGUCUGCUGUGAAAGUCCAGGGCUCAACCCUGGACCUGCAUUCGAUACGGGCAGACUAGAGUUCGGUAGGGGAGACUGGAAUUCCUGGUGUAGCGGUGAAAUGCGCAGAUAUCAGGAGGAACACCGAUUGCGAAGGCAGCUCGCUGGGACGUAACUGACGCUGAGACGCGAAAGCGUGGGGAGCAAACAGG
rnacentral:rRNA from 1 species